GUGGGGUGUGGCCGAGGGCGUACCCUUCGGUGGGCGUGACCGGGAUCGCUUCACUCCUUGUCCGUUUCUCGGCUUGCGGACUGGGACGUGGCUGCCCUCGGGUCCCGGCCUUGGCCGUGCGCUGCGGCUGGGACCCUUGGCUCCUCCUGCUCGCGGCCGGGCGGGGCGCAGCCUCAUCUUUCGGGGCGGGGUCUCAGCGUCCAGAUCUGCAUCCGCAGCCCGGCCCAGAUGGGUGCCUCCCCUCGCUGGCUGCGUGUAGUCCCUCUGCGCGGCUCGCGGCUUCGGAACCGAGGGGAUCGCGGGCGGGGCGGGGUCCAGAAUCCACCGGGAAGGCGUCUGCAGGUUCGCAGAGAAGCGGAGCACUCUUAAGGCACUGGAGCAGAAGAACACGUUGUGAGCCCGGGCACGUGCAAGGAAGCGUUCGUCCCUGCCGAAAUAGCUCAGUUGGGAGAGCGUCAGACUGAAGAUUAAAAGGUCCUAGGUUCGGUCCCAGGUCUCGGCAGGUUGCCGGUGCCCCGCAGCGACAGACGCGAAGCCGGCCCCCAACAUGGGUCUUUCCCCGGAUUCACAGGCGGCCAGGGCCUUAGCCCUGGCUUCUCCUGAGCUCCGUGGUUUAAUACUUGCGGACGCGAAGCAGCACAUCCUGACAACAGGCCACGGGGCAUUGGUUUUUUGAACAGAAAAGUACUGCAUGUCAGUUCAUAGGGAAAACUGAUACAAAGCAAUCUGCAAAGCCGGCUGCGUCUCGCCCCAUCUCUGAACUCCCAGCCUGGGCCCAGCCGGGUUUCCCCCAACACCCGGGGCUCGCUCGGGACUCCGGAAAAGCGAGUGUGGAUUUUAAAAUAGGCUUCGCCCAAACAGGGACUCGAACCCUGGACUCUCAGAUUAAAAGUUUGAUGCUCUAUCGACUGAGCUCCCCGGGCCCUGCGGGCCGGUACCGCCCUCCGCCUGUCUGGCAAAGGCGCCACGGAAGGGCUGUGAUCCUGCGAGGCGAGGGGCCGGAUCCACCGCGACCCCCCGGCCCCCGGGUUCUUAAGCGCUUUGCCCCGCCUUCUCCGGAGGCAGGCGGGACACGCUAUCUGUCAGGUUAUCCCGCGCUUUGGGAUUCCCCGGUUCCACUCAGAUCGGAGCUUCUCAGGCUGGGAUUUCUGAGCGUUCAGCGGAGAAACGUGCAAAGCACCCACGUCCUCAGUGCUGCAAGGUUCUGGAGGAAGCGGUAGAUGUUGGAAAAUCACAGCAAACGCGCUGCGUCCUCCCCCCUCCUCCCGGCCUUGCAGCCGCGUUCGGGCCGUCCCGUCUCCCCGGAGGUACCUGAGGACCGAGCCCGGUGGUCCCGGCGCCGCCUUGGUUCCUCCGCGCCGGCCCGCGGGGCCACCCGAAGCCUCUCGCAGCGCCGGCCCCUCCUCAGUCCUCCCGCGCGUCCGCCCGCAGGCCGGCCGGCUCCUCCUCCCGCCCCUCGGCCUUUGCGCGGCGGCGCAGCAACAUCGGUGGAGAGGAUCGGGUCUGCUUUCGGUGGACGCUGCCUUCGCUCCUUCCCAGCCGUGGAUUCUCAAGUCGUCCCGCAUUCUCUGCUCUGGCGAAAAGGAACUGUCUGGGGUUCAGAUUCAGACCCAGAUCCCGGCGUCUGCGCACCUAAAGUCCCAACAGGGAACGCCGAAGGGCGAACACAGAGCCGCCAGAAGUGGGGUUCGAACCCGCGCACCCCAGAGACCACGGAGCCCUAAGUCCGACGCUCUAACCAUUCGGCCACCCCGGCACCCUGCCGGAUGGCGUUUUCCUUCCGGGCGACUCGGGCAACACGGACUGAAGUUUCCGAACAGCUCGGGAUGGAUUCGGAUCGCGAGCGUUGCAUGGAAACAGAACGAGCAAAGCCACGCUCAGCCCGCGUCUCCUCGAUCGCAUCUCGUGGAUCUCUGGGUUCAGUACCCAGAAACCGGAGCCCCGGGAAAGCGAUGGAGGAGCCUCGGGAGGGGGCCCGACGCGCCGGAGCGACCGCCUUUGUCCCCAACCAGGGCGCGGCCGAGUGCGGAUUAAAGGCUUCUGUCACUUUAAUUUUCUUUAUCCGACUUCAUCAAAACAAAGCGACUCUGGUGGGACUCGAACCCACAACCUUUGAAUGUCUUUGUUUGUCUAGAAGUCCAAUGCGCUAUCCAUUGCGCCACAGAGCCAGAUGCUUGGAGGUUGCCCCGAGCCGCCUACAGCUCCGUGGCGGGCGCGCGUUCUCGCCCCGGGAGCCGCGCCGGGCGGGCGAGGAGCAGGAGCAUGAGCGGCAGCGGCGGGGGAAGCCGGGCACGGGCGGCUCGGUCCCGGCGGGCGCAGGCCGAGGGCUGCGCGCGGGGUUGAUUACGCCCGGAGGCGGCCGGCCACCGCGCGGUUCCAUAGUGUAGCGGUUAUCACGUCUGCUUUACACGCAGAAGGUCCUGGGUUCGAGCCCCAGUGGAACCACGGGCGGCCCCGCUGGUAUUUUGAGGGUGCUCGGGGCUCCUUUGCGAGCUAGGGGUGCUGGGUUUUGUCCUGGAUAUGGAGGUGCAGCCGGGUGCUCUGCCCGAGGCGUCCGCCUGCGAUUGCACCCCGCGUCCGACCCGCGCAGGGCGUCACCGGGCGCCCGUUAAAUGACCAGAUUCCGGUCCACUUUCCGCGCGCGGUUCCAUAGUGUAGCGGUUAUCACGUCUGCUUUACACGCAGAAGGUCCUGGGUUCGAGCCCCAGUGGAACCAGGGCGUGGGCUUUGUCCCUUUUAGGGAAAAAUCACCCAUUUAGGGCGAAAGUUAGCUUUUGCGAGCCAGAGUUCGCCACGUCCAGCUGGAGACGCGCGAGUCGUCCUCUCCGCUGCCUCGGCGCUCGCAGCCGGCCUGUACCGGCCCGGUUCUCGGGGCGCUCGGGCCUCCCGUGGCUCACGGCUGCCCCCGCGUGGCGGCUCCGCGGAGGUGCAGCCGGGCCCCUGCGCCUGCGCAGUUCGGCGGCCAGCCUUCCCGCGGUGCUCGCUCGCGUCCCCGAUUCCGCGCGGGCCGGCCUGGAAGCCGGAAGUCACGUCCGCGGCCUCGCUUUCCGACAGCUCGAAGAUUCCGGGGAUCUGGAGAGAAACGGACGCCCGGACAGAAGCCUGCAACUCUGAAGGACCGAACAGCGCCGCCUUGAGGCACGAGCGGGAAAUGAACUUCCGUUGUGUCCGCCGCCCGUAUUUGACGUUUCUACUGCAGAGGCCGGCACCCUGUGAUCAGCAGGGGAAAGUCCUUAAAGACAGCACUUCGCCAAGCAGUACCCUGCGUUUAACUCACGGAGACACUCAGGAGAACCCCUCCCUCGCCCUGACUCAGAUGCGUGUGGAUCGCUUGGACGACUUUUCCAGUGGAGGUUUUGCCACUUCCCAGCUGGCCAUGGGAAUCACUCCGUGAUACCACAGGCUAUGGGGACAGAUGUGCGGGUCACAGAAGGUGGCCUCGUGUCACUUCCAACACUCACAACUGCAGUUCACCCGCGACAUGGUAACAAUAAGAGCUCCCUCGUGCACAGGGUGCUCCUAAGGAGGAGGCAAGGUUGGAUGUCUGCUCUGGAAACUAAGGACAAUGCAGGAGCCUGACUUUCCCCGUGGCUGCCCAGCCCACCUGGCCCAGGUGUGCGUCUCCCUCGACCCCAGGUCCUCCGGGCCUUGACCAAGUGUGGCUGCAGUCGCUACUGAUGCUGCUGUUUGUGUCCCUUUUCCCAACCCUUCUCCCUGGGAAGCUUUUCUUUUUUGCUCAAAGACUUCAGCUAAUUCAUAUGUCUAAAAAUUCAGAAUCUUUGUACUCACA
ensembl:lncRNA